UACGGAGGGUGCAAGCGUUAUCCGGAAUCACUGGGUUUAAAGGGUGCGUAGGCGGAAAAGUAAGUCAGAGGUGAAAGCCCGUCGCUUAACGAUGGAAUUGCCUUUGAUACUGUUUUUCUUGAAUUGGGUUGAGGUAAGCGGAAUGUGGCAUGUAGCGGUGAAAUGCAUAGAUAUGCCAUAGAACACCGAUUGCGAAGGCAGCUUACUGGACCUUUAUUGACGCUGAGGCACGAAAGCGUGGGGAGCGAACAGG
rnacentral:rRNA from 1 species